AAAAGGUGCGGGUCACCCUUCAAACCGCAUCUUUUGGGUGGUUCUUUGGCGUUUUUAGUGGUUUUAUGGCUUCACACGCAUCAUUUGAUGCGCAGAUGGUUGACCGCACUUAUUGUCCCUAAUUUUCCCCAACGAAAUUCAUUUCCCUCCAUCUCCAAAAAAUUAAACCCCAAUUUCCCUCACAAAAAUUCACUUCCCUCCUGUAUCCAAAAAAUUAAACCCCAAAACUUCCUCUCAUCUUCCAAACACCUCUCCUCUCCACCGUCUGUCUGCCGCCUGCUGAACCUCGAAGCCAUCCAUCCGAAGAAGACUGGACGCAAUCCACGGCAACCUCAACCUCACAUGGUAAUUUCGCCCUAAUCGACGAACCCUAAACUCUAAUCGAACAUCACGGUUAUUUGAAGAGGUGAUGAAAACCCCUAACCUUCUUAAUGUGUAUGUUAUCGGAUUGUGUGUGUAUCUGUACUAUAUGUGUGUAGUCAAGAUUAUCGGGGAUUUGAAAUCUUUGAAAGACUAAUAGUGUUUGAAAUUGGUUUGUUAUUAUCCAGAUAUUAUUAUGUUGCAGAGACCCUGUAGAAGGUACGAGGGCACAGCCCGGGGAAUCAGCCCCUUUUCUCUCCGUAAAUUUCCCCCUUUUUUGACCUAGAUUCGUCGUUUUUUUUUAGAUAUUACAUGUUUACUUUUGUUUAUUUGUUUUGUAUGAAUUUUUAUGUUUUUGUCGAUUGUUGAAAUUGGAGUAUAUCUCGUUUAGAUUGUGAACUAUGCUAGAAUUAGUUGAAAGUUUUGGCUAGAUUGAACUGUAAUUAUGCUGAAGAUAUUUUUAAAUGUUUGAUUUAGUUUGUAUUAAAUGGUAUGUUGUAUGAUUUUACUGGAUUUAUAGAGGGUUUGAGGUUAGAUUAUGAAGUAACUGAGGUUGGAUUUUGAAGAUCUUUUUUUUUUUUUUAUGUUUUAUUUGCUUGGAUGAUUUUGCCAGUUCUAAAGAUGAUGAUUGUGUAAAAGGAUUUUGGUUUAAAUGGUGAUGAAUGAUUUUUUUUUUUUUGUGUGAAUUAACCUUGGCUCUUAUGUCAUCAAUUUACUUUAGCUCUUGGUUCAUAAUACAAAAUUCUGAACAUUUUAGUACUUGAAAGUUUGGUUUGUUAAUUGAACAAUGUGGGCUCCUCCACCACCUCCAAUGGCUGACAACAUACAAGGAAUUCACACAGAUGAAAUCCAAAUUUGAGAAUAUUAGAGGCUUUAAAAUUGUUGUGAUGCUAUUGAUGCCACUCGUAUAUUAUGAAGUUGCCGUCAGCAACGGAUCGAAGAACAACUGAUGUUUGGCUUGACGUUAAGGACAACCACAUUAUGAUUUUGCUGGUGAUUGUUGACCCUGCCAUGAGAUUCCGUGAUGUAGUUAUGGGAUAUACCGGGUAAAUCGAUGAAGCACCCAUUCUUAAAAAAACUAAUUUUUAUGAUUUAUCAUAGAAACGAAAGAGGCUAAACGAAGUUGGUGGCACAUCGGGCUUUGGCCUACUUGAAAGAUGUCUAGAAGAUGAUUCAUGGAGUGAUGUGGGGACCUGACAGGUACAGCUUACCUAGAGUUUCCACAGGUUCCUAAUUCUCAGUUUGUGCCUAUCUUUGUUUACUUGAUGCAAUUUGAUCCUUAAAGUUUGUGACUUCUAUUCUUAGGUCAUUAGUUACAAUUUUAUUAGUUAAAUCCUUUGAUGGCACUUUGUUUGUAAAUCAAUUAAAUCGCCACUUUGAUAUGGAAUAGAAGUCACAAAGCAUUGAAAGUCAUUUGAUUCAUAGUCGAACUUUCUUUUUGACAAAUUUUGUUUUAGCCCUCCAAUUGUAUGAUCAUCAGUUGAUUGCAGAUUAUAAAGGUUGCUAAUGCAAGUGUUACAAAAACGGAUGUUUUUUUAGAGAAAGCUUGCCACACACGUAUAUUGGAUCACUUUGCCGAUCAUGCUGAUGAUUCUGGAUCUAAUCAAGUUGCUAAAGAUUGUUAAUUACCUCUAUUUCAUAACUCUCUACAACGAUUGAAAUCUACUAUUUGUCCGACUUGAGAUUGACAUGAGAUUCUCUAUUUAUGGGUGAAUAUUGUUGUUGAUUUGAUUUAGAAGAAACGGAUGCAAGUUUAUUGUAAAAGUUUUUGUUCGAGCACUAAUGAAAGCGUCUAAUGUGCCAAUAUGUACCCUGUUGCAACGCGCUGGAUACUUUUACUAGUUUAUGUUACUUUGAAACUUUUGUAAAUUUAUGUUACUUUGAAACCUUGGUAAUUUAUAUUCUUGGGUUAUUUUAUAUUGGUUUAAUUUAA